rnacentral:miRNA from 1 species
GAUUCGGCGAAAUAUUACCCUCAGUGAUGAUAUUUAUGAAUAUCAUCACUGAGGGUAAUAUUUCGCAGAAU